ACUCAGUGCAGGGAUGCAGAAGAACAGCCCACCUGCACGGGAGCGGACUGUCGUAGCAAACUGCCACUGCAGGGUUCCUCUUCCUAUCAGUGCUGCCCUGGCAGAUGGGCGUGCGAUAAGGGGUCCUGGACCCACAGGUCAGACCCCCGCGGAGCACAUGAAGAGGCCGGACUGCUCAGACUGCAGCCUGCACCACAUGCUUAAUCAACCAUGAACCAUGACGCAGAUGGGGAAAAUGCCUCCUUUUAACUAGGCUAGUUGUUCACAUUCCAUGAGGUUAUAUAAUUGCCAUGUCCCUAGAGGAGCCAAGAGCCUUUGGA